rnacentral:rRNA from 1 species
UACGUAGGGUGCGAGCGUUGUUCGGAAUCACUGGGCUUAAAGGGCGCGUAGGCGGGUUCUCAAGUCAGGGGUGAAAUCCCGCGGCUCAACCGUGGAAGUGCCUUUGAUACUGGGGACCUCGAGGGAGGUAGGGGCGUGCGGAACUCCGGUGGAGCGGUGAAAUGCGGUAGAUAUCGGAAGGAACACCGGUGGCGAAAGCGGCGCGCUGGACUCUCGACGCUGAGCGGCGAAGCCAGGGGAGCAAAACGG